GGUGUGCUCGCGCAAAAGGUCUUGGCAAGUGAUAUAUGGUGUUUUAUACAUCUUGUAUAUAUGCUUUUAAAUUGGUUUUCAAGUCUUUAUCGAGUCUUCCUAGUCCUUUUGGAGUCAUUACAGGUCUGGAGUUGCAUUAGAUGGGAGAUGGACCAGCUGGAACAAAAGAGGCAGAAAAUAAUGCAAUUUGGUGGUUUUCACGCAGAACAGUCUUGAUGACUGUUCCGGAUAGCGGAGCAACCCGAGUGACUGUUCCGAGUGAGUGUUCCAGCGGCAGAGAUUUUUAAGGAAACUACAAUCAUUACGGGAUUUGCCCUAAUUAUCCCUAUUUUCUCUCCCAGCCGCCUGUGGCUUUGAUAUAUCAUAUUUUCUGUUUCUUUUUAUUAUUCUACGCUAUUCUAGACAGAAGAAAACAAUACGAGCCAAUCUAGAACUUGAACAACAAGAAUAGAUAAACCCACUGUCGUGGUGUCUACCAAUUUAUCAAGCAAUCCUAAUGCCUAAACUGUCGUUUGGAUCUGAGAAUGAUGACAAGCAUUAAGUUCAGAUUCAAUUGGUUCACGAUUCGCCUUAACAUCAGCUUUCGUUGGCUAAGGACAAAUCGCAUAUCUAUGCUAUUUCCAGUAACCUAAAACACUUUUGAUGAAUAGAUUAAACUUGUGAUCAGAUGCUAAAUGGCCAGUUUAACAUAAGCAAUAAGCAUAACAAUAGACAGAGAUAUCAAAGAAUAACAAUCCUAUUUGUGUCUAGCUCAUUGAUCCAUGAUCCUUAACACCCUAAACCUAACAAGCGACUACUCAGACAUGGACAAAGAAAUCACAGAGACAAAGACUGAAUAAAACAUCAUGCAAUUCAAUAGAAUAAGAAUAGGGUUCAGGAUAAUCUUCUCUAUGACGAGAGAGAUGGAGCCUUCUCCCUUUACAAUAAGCAAAUCUUCAAAUUCUAAAGUCUCCAAUGGUUUUCUUCAGUCUAGAAUAGCGUAGAAUGAUAAAAAGAAACAGAAAAUAUGAUAUAUCAAAGCCACAGGCGGCUGGGAGAGAAAAUAGGGAUAAUUAGGGCAAAUCCCGUAAUGAUUGUAGUUUCUUUAAAAAUCUCUGCCGCUGGAACACUCACUCGGAACAGUCACUCGGGUUGUUCCGCUAUCCGGAACAGUCAUCAAGACUGUUCUGCGUGAAAACCACCAAAUUGCAUUAUUUUCUGCCUCUUUUGUUCCAGCUAGUCCAUCUCCCAUCCAAUGCAACUCCAGACUUGUAAUGACUCCAAAAGGACUAGGAAGACUCGAUAAAGACUUGAAAACCAAUUUAAAAGCAUAUAUACAAGAUGUAUAAAACACCAUAUAUCAAUUCCCCCAGACUUAGAUCCUUGUUUGUCCUCAAACAAUGUCAAGUAUCAAGAACAGGGAGAAAGGUUUGAAAGUGUGGGAACUCUCCUAUUCUCAGCAACCAUACUUUAACCACGAAUCUCUGAACCAUACAAGCAGUAAAACUAGGACAACACACCCUUACCGGAACCCCACUGACUGCUGUUCAAAAAUUGGCUCCAUACUCUUCAUCUCAAACCUGAAAAAGCAACACUAUCGAGACAGAACUCCCUACAUUCAUUUAAGAGUAGCGUGAGCUUCUCAUCACAGGCAUCAUUCAGGGUAGACGGUCUAGGUGUGGAACAGGCUAUUUAAUGGUGGAGUUAAGAGUGUUUAGGAGCUACCAUUUCAUUGAAGAGGAUGCAGGAUAUCACACAAAAUGGCAAGAGAGGAUAGAUCCAUUGAUGUCCACAGCCUCUACUCGUUUUUGCUCUAUUUGGUGCGACUGUUCUGAUGACGGAACAUGCAACUGAUUGUUCUGCUUUCUACUUUCCUCUACACACUCUUCAAUACUUGGUACCAACUUCUUGCUCGACCUUUCCAGUGGCUCCAUGUUUCUUUUCUUUCUUCCCCUUCUCCAUCACAUUAAUCUCGUUUUUUUUUUUUUUUUUUUUUGAAGAAUGAUAUGGUGAUGUGACGAAGAAGGAGGUAAUACAUGAUCGUUCUGAGUGCCACUGGUGGUUCUGAUUUUGCAACCAUUCUGGUUCUCCACCCCUGCUCUUACGCAGUUCAUUGGUUAUGGAGCGGUUGCUCCCUUAAUCUGCUUGUUCUCCUUUCUGACAUAAUUUCUGCAGCAGUAACGAGUAGGAGGCUGCAUUGAUCCUUUCCUCUCCGACCUUUUUGCACAUAUCUGCACAUAUGUUUUUCAGUGCUCAUAUGUGCAGAUAUGUGCAAAAAGGUCGGAGAGAAAAGGAUCAACGCAGCCUCCUACUCGUUACUGCUGCAGAAAUUAUGUCAGAAAGGAGAACAAGCAGAUUAAGGGAGCAACCGCUCCAUAACCAAUGAACUGCGUAAGAGCAGGGGUGGAGAACCAGAAUGGUUGCAAAAUCAGAACCACCAGUGGCACUCAGAACGAUCAUGUAUUACCUCCUUCUUCGUCACAUCACCAUAUCAGUCUUCAAAAAAAAAAAAAAAAACGAGAUUAAUGUGAUGGAGAAGGGGAAGAAAGAAAAGAAACAUGGAGCCACUGGAAAGGUCGAGCAAGAAGUUGGUACCAAGUAUUGAAGAGUGUGUAGAGGAAAGUAGAAAGCAUAACAAUCAGUUGCCUGUUCCGUCAUCAGAACAGUCGCACCAAAUAGAGCAAAAACGAGUAGAGGCUGUGGACAUCAAUGGAUCUAUCCUCUCUUGCCAUUUUGUGUGAUAUCCUGCAUCCUCUUCAAUGAAAUGGUAGCUCCUAAACACUCUUAACUCCACCAUUAAAUAGCCUGUUCCACACCUAGACCGUCUACCCUGAAUGAUACAUGUGAUGAGAAGCUCACGCUACUCUUAAAUGAAUGUAGGGAGUUCUGUCUCGAUAGUGUUGCUUUUUCAGGUUUGAGAUGAAGAGUAUGGAGCCGAUUUUUGAACAGCAGUCAGUGGGGUUCCGGUAAGGGUGUGUUGUCCUAGUUUUACUGCUUGUAUGGUUCAGAGAUUCGUGGUUAAAGUAUGGUUGCUGAGAAUAGGAGAGUUCCCACACUUUCAAACCUUUCUCCCUGUUCUUGAUACUUGACAUUGUUUGAGGACAAACAAGGAUCUAAGUCUGGGGGAAUUGAUAUAUGGUGUUUUAUACAUCUUGUAUAUAUGCUUUUAAAUUGGUUUUCAAGUCUUUAUCGAGUCUUCCUAGUCCUUUUGGAGUCAUUACAGGUCUGGAGUUGCAUUGGAUGGGAGAUGGACCAGCUGGAACAAAAGAGGCAGAAAAUAAUGCAAUUUGGUGGUUUUCACGCAGAACAGUCUUGAUGACUGUUCCGGAUAGCGGAGCAACCCGAGUGACUGUUCCGAGUGAGUGUUCCAGCGGCAGAGAUUUUUAAGGAAACUACAAUCAUUACGGGAUUUGCCCUAAUUAUCCUUAUUUUCUCUCCCAGCCGCCUGUGGCUUUGAUAUAUCAUAUUUUAUGUUUCUUUUUAUCAUUCUACGCUAUUCUAGACAGAAG
rnacentral:lncRNA from 1 species